GAGAAAGAGUUGGCUUAGCGUAGGCCAUGCGAGUUGCGAGCUAUGUGUCAUCGCCGCACAGCGCAUCGGAAUCCGGGAGUCUCCCUUUCUCUAUAGACUCUGCGACGAUGUGGCGAGGCUCUCUCCGUCGCGUUGUGCGAACCCUGCUCAUAGCCGCAGUUUUAUGUGCCAUUCCUUCUUCCAUAGAUCCCUUCAAUGUAUAGCUUCUAGCGGCUUGGUUCCUUUCCCGCCCUUAUGCUGGGGUUUGCAAAAAGAGGGAAGAUCAUUCAAUUGUCGUCUCAUGUCAAAGGAAGUGCCGGAGUUCAUUCUUGAAGGCAAGAAUCAGGUGCCUGUCAUUGCAUUGAAUUUGAUUGGUGGGGAUUUUUGAAUCCAGUGGACUGGUGCUGCUAUAUCUUUUUGGUAUUGGAUUCAUCAGCAUUGUUGUGGUAC